UUCCUUAGCUUCGAAGGAUAAAGAAAGGUGAGGAGGGUAUCAAUGGAAAACAAAACUUCAACACCACCACACCAAAGCUGGGGUUCACACCAAAAGAUCUUUUGCAUUGGGUUUCCACGCCUUGGAGACGGGUGAAAGCAACGACCAAAACAGCUGGACAUCAUUCUCGUACAUUGUUUUUAGCUCUUUUUUUGUUAUAUUUAUAAUAAAGGAAGGAAGGUCAAAGCAGGAGAAGAACAUUUUGUUGACUUCGACCCCUAUCUUAUGCUAUUCAAUCUCUGCUUCCCCCCGCCCCACUCUCACUAAAUCCAGCGUGCGCGUGGGCGUGGCAUAGAAAUCUCUUGUGUUUUUUAAUUUAAAAAAAAUUUAUUAAAAAUUCUUUUAUAUUUAAUA